UCAAACUAGAGCUUGAAAUAAAGCAUUUUAUUUACAUUAAAAAGUUAAUUGUGGGAUUCAAUUUGGUUUGAU
rnacentral:tRNA from 1 species